CUUUAGCUCAGUCGGUUAGAGCAUCUGACUGUUAAUCAGGGGGUCGUAAGUUCGAGUCUUACAAG
rnacentral:tRNA from 2 species